rnacentral:rRNA from 1 species
GACGAACGCUGGCGGCGUGCCUAACGCAUGCAAGUCGAGCGAGGGGAGGUCGCAAGACCGAACCUAGCGGCGAACGGGUGAGUAACACGUGGGUAAUCUGCCUAUGAGACGGGGAUAGCCCCGGGAAACUGGGGAUAAUACCGGAUGUGAUCCAGCUGACGGAGGUUAGCUGGAGGAAAUGGCGCAAGCCGCUCAUAGAUGAGCCCGCGGCCCAUUAGCUAGUUGGUAGGGUAAAGGCCUACCAAGGCGACGAUGGGGUAGCCGGUCUGAGAGGGAUCGGCCGGCCACACGUGGGACUGAGACACGGCCCAGACUCCGUACGGGUGCAG